ACAUGCAGUCGAGCGGAUGGAUUAAGAGCUUGCUCUUAUGAAGUUAGCGGCGGACGGGUGAGUAACACGUGGGUAACCUACCCAUAAGACUGGGAUAACUCCGGGAAACCGGGGCUAAUACCGGAUAAUAUUUUGAACUGCAUAGUUCGAAAUUGAAAGGCGGCUUCGGCUGUCACUUAUGGAUGGACCCGCGUCGCAUUAGCUAGUUGGUGAGGUAACGGCUCACCAAGGCGACGAUGCGUAGCCGACCUGAGAGGGUGAUCGGCCACACUGGGACUGAGACACGGCCCAGACUCCUACGGGAGGCAGCAGUAGGGAAUCUUCCGCAAUGGACGAAAGUCUGACGGAGCAACGCCGCGUGAGUGAUGAAGGCUUUCGGGUCGUAAAACUCUGUUGUUAGGGAAGAACAAGUGCUAGUUGAAUAAGCUGGCACCUUGACGGUACCUAACCAGAAAGCCACGGCUAACUACGUGCCAGCAGCCGCGGUAAUACGUAGGUGGCAAGCGUUAUCCGGAAUUAUUGGGCGUAAAGCGCGCGCAGGUGGUUUCUUAAGUCUGAUGUGAAAGCCCACGGCUCAACCGUGGAGGGUCAUUGGAAACUGGGAGACUUGAGUGCAGAAGAGGAAAGUGGAAUUCCAUGUGUAGCGGUAAA
rnacentral:rRNA from 1 species